rnacentral:piRNA from 1 species
UGCAGUUUCAAAUGGUGUCUCAAGAAAUU